AAGAAGAAUUCAAAUCGCAAAUCGUAAGUGUAACAGACAUAUCAUGAAGUUUAUUGCAUGUGUCGUAAUCUUUGCUAUGCUGCUUUGCUUGAUGAAAGAGACGGACGCUAAAAAGAAGAAAUGGUGUGCUUGCUACAAUGGAUUUUGUUACUGCAGCAAGCGUUCUCUGGAUAUGUUAAAGGAAGAUGGAAGUGACCCGGUGGAAAAAAUAAACCAAAUGAGAGAGGCGGAUUUCAGGAAAAGAUUCUUGAAAACUGAGAUGAAGCAAUAGAAAUACAAAUAGAAUGGAAAACAUCAAUUGAAAUUGAGUGAGGAGGAUUAAAAUUUCAUUUUUGAAUUAAAACUUCUCUUGAUUCCAGUAAAACUUUUGAAAAUGCAUUA